rnacentral:rRNA from 1 species
GAAGGCCCUCGGGUCGUAAAGCCCGUUUUCCCAGGGACGAUGAUGACGGUACCUGGGGAAUCAGCCCCGGCUAACUACGUGCCAGCAGCCGCGGUAAUACGUAGGGGGCAAGCGUUGUCCGGAUUUAUUGGGCGUAAAGCGCUCGCAGGUGGUUCGUCGCGUCGUGCGUGAAAGACCCCGGCUCAACUGGGGAGGGUCGUGCGAUACGGGUCGGACUGGAGGCCAGUAGGGGGAUGCGGAAUUCCGGGUGUAGUGGUGGAAUGCGUAGAGAUCCGGAGGAACACCAGCGGCGAAGGCGGCAUCCUGGACUGGUCCUGACACUCAGGAGCGAAAGCGUGGGGAGCGAUCCGGAUUAGAUACCCGGGUAGUCCACGCUGUUAAACGAUGCGCACUAGGUGUCGGGGGUAUCGACCCCCUCGGUGCCGCAGCUAACGCGAUAAGUGCGCCGCCUGGGGACUACGGCCGCAAGGCUA